AGACAAGCGAUACCAAGCUCCUGGAGCACUGAUGAGGGCGACAGAGAGGAGGAGAAGAAGAGCGGGAGGAAAAAAGAAGGAGAUGAGUAAAGAAGAAAGUGAGUGAGAAAAUGAAUAAAGAGUUUCCAAAUGCAGAGCAUUGAAAGUAGGAGAGUAAGAGAAAGAUGAGGAGAAAGAAGAAGAACGUAGUAGAAAAAGAGGCAGGAAGUAUGAAGAUAUAGCACGGGAAGAUAAACACUAUAGAAACAAAAAAGAGUGUUCAGGAAGCAGAGGAGGGAGUUUUGAGUGAUAGCGAACAUACUGUAGAUGAAAGCUGUCGGAGGAGUGGGACGCUGAGAAGCGUCAGCAUUGUCAGAGCAUGUUCAGCCCUCAGGGACAGCCAGGGGCCGGCCGUCAGCCUUUAUUUGGAGAGCAGAAGCUUUUCCACACUACCUGAAAUCAGCUGAGAGGUUAAGUCGUGGUGUGUGCAAGCUGCCAGCAUCAGAUCAUCGUCCUCAAAGUGUGGAGGCAAGAAGGAAAGAUGUUGGGUGCCCCCCGGUGGAGACUGUGUACUGUGUGCAAAGUGCUCCCCGCUUUCCUUUCUGUGUUUGUUAGUUAAUCACCAUCUGCUGCUGCUGCAGUUAGUUGUAUAGCAAGAGUGGAGAGGAAAGGUGAGUAUUCUCAGUCAACCAGCUUCUCAUGCAAAUAAAUGGUUUUAAUGGCUCCACCGUGUGAUGAACAAAAAAGCUUCAAAAAUACUGGUUGACAGUUUGACUUGGUCCUGUCACUGAAGAUUAGCUUCCAUUAGCUACCACAGCACUGAUGGGUGG